UCCCAAUUCCUAGGACGCAUCCUUCGAAGGCUGCAUUCGAAGGAUGCGUCGACGCCGAUUGCGUCACAGCGUCGCGCCAAGUGCUGUCCCAAUUCCAAGGGUCCUUCAAAUGCGGCCUACGAAUGCAGCCUUCUUUUCCCGGAUUUGAAGGAUGCAUCGGCUGUAUCCUUCACGGCCCAACGUAUCCCAAGAUCCUUCACGGCCCAACGUAUCCCUCCCAAGAUUCAUUGCGCAUUCAAUCAAUGGAGAUGGCGGAGAAUGGCGAUUUAAGUUCUGCAUUUAAAUGAUUGCAAGUAUCCAGGGUCAGGAGAGGGGGUAGGUGGGAAACCCACUGCUGCCACUUGGCCCUGGUUUGUCCCCUUUGAUAAGGUAUUGUGACAUAUGCAUUCCACCAACCCCCCUGUCCUAAUUGCCUCCAUCCCUGAGAACACACCAGGGCCAAGUACAGCAAGUACAGCAAGUACAGCAGUGGUGGAUCAGGAGGUUGAGGACAAGAUCAGGAGGAGGAAAGACAGCGAGGGCCAAGGUCCAGAAAGAGGGACAGAGAGGAAGACAUGUUCCAGAGUCGCUCACUAUCUUCCGAAAAGGACUCAAGAUUCACCUGUUCAGAGUCCACCUCGACUGCAUAGCCACCCUCCCCCUUCUGGCAACCAUUGUACACUGUGUUGUAUUGUAUUAUAGUACUUAACUGUGUAGCAACUGCAGUAGCUGCUAUCAUGGCUGUAACACGGGGAAUGGGUUAGCCUAGCGAUUGUGGUACUUGCACUUGGUUCUAUGAACAUCCUUUCUGUACCGACAGCGAUAUAUUGAUGCACUUCUUAUGACAAAUGUACUUAUUGUAAGUCGCUUUGGAUAAAAGCGUCUGCUAAAUGCCCUAAAUGUAAAUGUAAAAUGUCAAUGUUCCAGUUAAUAAAAGAGGACAUGAGGCUACAAAGGGA